UCCAUCAACUUCUAACGUCAGAAAAAUACUCAAGCCUUCGGUUUAGUUAAGCCUGAAUUCGUACCUGCCCAAGGGCUAGGUGUGCUUUAAUAAUUAUGAAGGAAGAAUCAAGGUGUUCAUUUUGUGUGAAGCUCUUUAAAUGGUUUCCAGUCUUGUUUAUAACUGCUGUCAUUGGUUGGUCAUAUUACUCCUAUGUUAUUCAGCUGUGCUUCCUAACUGUGGAGGAUAUGGAUGAGAAAGUUUGUUAUCUCAUAACCUAUCAUCCAUUACUUGUAUUGUUCCUGUGGUCCUACUGGCAAACAAUAUUUACAGAUGUAUAUUCCAUUCCAAAACAGUUUAAAAUACCAGCUGCUGAAUUUGAGAAACUCCAAAAAGAACCAAAUGAAGAAAAUCAGCGUCGUCUUCUUGAACAGUUGUCAACAGACCUCCCUGUUUUGUGCCGUACUUUUAGUGGUGCAAUUAGAGUCUGUGAAAAAUGCCGUAUGAUCAAGCCUGAUAGAGCCCACCAUUGUUCUGUUUGUGGCAAGUGUGUAUUGAAAAUGGAUCAUCACUGCCCUUGGGUAAACAACUGUGUGUCUUUUUCCAACUACAAGUUUUUUAUCCUUUUCCUUGGAUAUGCUCUUGUUUAUUGCGUUUUUAUAAGUUUGACAACUUUGCAGUACUUCAUAAAAUUCUGGACUAACAACUUGAAAGGAUAUGGGAAGUUCCACAUUCUAUUCUUGUUUUUUGUAGCAGUUAUGUUUGCUAUCAGUCUCGUAUCUCUGUUUGGAUUUCACUGUUAUCUCAUAAUUGCAAACAGAUCAACACUAGAGUCUUUCAGACCACCAGUUUUUAGGAUGGGUCCAGAUAAAAAUGGUUUUAGUAUAGGAAGAUAUCAGAACUUCAUUCAGGUGUUUGGAAAUGAUAAGGUGAAAUGGUUUCUUCCUGUUCAUACCAGCUUAGGUGAUGGGGUGGCUUUUCCACAAAGACCAAGAGAUGAAGAUACAGACAGUCUCCUUAAUCCACGUCAACACCAUUGUGAAGAGGUGGGGGAUGAGGAGGACCUUUCAUCUCCAGAACAAACAUCUGAUUUGUUACCUCUUCAGACAGACCUCCGUUCUACUAAACAACAGUUGUGAUUUUAUCAAAUCUGUCAUUAAAGGAAUACUGUUCUACACAUUGCUCUAGCUGUUAUAAAACACAAAAUUUGACUUUCAGAUGGAGAAAUUUGUCUUUAUACAUAUCACUUAUAUUUUAUAUUUUUAAGGGGAAUGAAAAGAUCAUAAAAUCCAUCAUUGUACAAGAGACCUGGAAAUUAUGUUCUAAGAAGAUGUUGAGCAUUUUGGAUGUAUGAUGUCAUGAACAUAGCCAUAUCUACAGUCAGAGUCAGAAAAAUAUUCUUUAGACUUGAUGGUAUAUGAACUUUUGCAACUAUCAUCCCAUAUUUGUAUUUUUGGGGAGGGAGAAGGAGGGUCCACGACAUUUGGACUCGUAGAAAACCACCAGGCUCCCCUCAAUUUUCUUCAGAAUAGUUUUAUUUCAUCAGGAGUUACUGUACUGUGUUGAAGAAAGUACAGUCAUGAAAAAAAAUGUACUGGAAUCUGCAACAUUUAUGGGGAAACUCGAGAGAACAUAGGAUUGAUCAAGAACUUUUCCUCAAGAUGAAAAAAAAAUGUUUAGCAAUACAAUACAAAUAGUUUUUGAUAAUGUGGCUUGGAAAUAAUAGGUAAUUAUAAAAUGUUAUAAAGUGUUAGUAUUUGAAGAGUUGUUGAUGAGAAGUUUACCUGUACUCAAUCUAAUCUCUUUGUAUUGUUUUUUAAUAUCUUCUUAAAGGCUAUUUUCAUGUAAAUAGUACUUUUACUCUGUGUACUAGCAAAAGUUCAUUAAGAUCAGUUUCACUUUUACAUUGCUCUUAAGUACUUUAAAAAGUGGUACCAUUUGUGAACUGUUUGGAGACAAGUUAUUCAGCUUUGGAAUGUAAAUAGCAAUUCAAGAAAAUAUCUUGCAUAUAACUGGAAAUAAUUUGUGAUUCUGAUGUUGCUGAUUUGUGAUAUAUUAAAGUGGUAUAUUAAA